GAUUCCAUCACACAGCUGAUUCUGAGAGAGACACAGUGAUGAACCUGGACAGAGAACUGAAGGAGUGAUGCAAAUUGUUGAGGUGGUGAGGACCAGAGGUUUUGUUGUUGCAGGAUUAGAUACACUUGGGCAGUCAACCUCAUCUGAUCCAUCGUGACAAUGAGCACGCCCAUCACAAACCAAACUCUUA